GUCGGCGACCACGACAGCACGACCUGCCACUUGGCUCCGAUCUCUACACCUGUUCACUUCAUUCUCUAUGAAUGAUUUUGCAAUAAGUCUUGCACAGACACGAAUUGCCUUAUCAGGACGCUCAUGCCUCAUGUGGGUGUAAGCCCAUUCAAAACACCUAAUUCUGCAGAGCGCAUCUGUUCGUGGGUGCAGGCCCAUACUGAGUGCCCGAUCUCCAAUCUUCAGUAUAUUGUCAAGAAGCUAUGGAUCAGAAAUCCUGUGUAUUUUCUUUAUGUAUAUUUAAGGAAUAAGGCUGCUUAUUUUCCAGAAAAUUCUACUUUCGUUUUGUGUAUUUGUAUGUGUGUAUUUUAUUUUCUUUGAGUAAUACAGCGAACAAACUGUUGAA